UAGAGUUUGAUCCUGGCUCAGGAUGAACGCUAGCGGCAGGCCUAAUACAUGCAAGUCGAACGAUACCAAUGGGCUUGCUCAUUGGAAAAGUGGCGCACGGGUGCGUAACGCGUAUGCAACCUACCUUAAUCAGGGGGAUAGCCCGAAGAAAUUCGGAUUAACACCGCAUAAAAACACAGCACAGCAUUGUGUAAUGUUCAAAUAUUUAUAGGAUUAAGAUGGGCAUGCGUGUCAUUAGCUAGUUGGCGGGGUAACGGCCCACCAAGGCGACGAUGACUAGGGGAUCUGAGAGGAUGACCCCCCACACUGGUACUGAGACACGGACCAGACUCCUACGGGAGGCAGCAGUAAGGAAUAUUGGUCAAUGGAGACAACUCUGAACCAGCCAUGCCGCGUGCAGGAAGACAGCCCUCUGGGUCGUAAACUGCUUUUAUUCGGGAAUAAACCUCAUUACGUGUAAUGAGCUGAAUGUACCGAAGGAAUAAGGAUCGGCUAACUCCGUGCCAGCAGCCGCGGUAAUACA
rnacentral:rRNA from 1 species